rnacentral:lncRNA from 1 species
UCUCCCAAUUCUGAAUUCCCUGUAUUCGAAGCGGAAGAAGAUGAUGAUUGAAGGGAUUCCUGACGAGAUUUCCCGACUUCUUGAGCAAGAAAAGAAGAUCACUCAGUUGUAUCUCGAGAAUCAGCAGAACAGCCAACUGGGGCAUUAAUCAAAAAAAAGAAAAAAAAAAGAAAAAAAAAGAAAGAAGAGGGUGCAAAAUAAAAAAAAAUCAAAAUCAAAAGAAAUCAAAAGAAAUCAAAAUCAAAAAUCAAAAGAAAGGAAAAGAAAGAAAGAAAGAUAGCACCCUCAAAGUCCCAAGUUGGCUGAUGCUGAAUUCGAUCAACUGCCAUGUGUCAUGGCCAAUCAUAUCAACAGAGAGUGAAAAAGCAUCCAACAAGAAGGUCAAGCCUCGUGUGUUUUGAGAAGGC